UAUUUGUGCGUUGAGACACUUUC
rnacentral:snRNA from 1 species